rnacentral:rRNA from 1 species
UACAGAGGUCUCAAGCGUUGUUCGGAUUCAUUGGGCGUAAAGGGUGCGUAGGCGGCGCGGUAAGUCGGGUGUGAAAUCUCGGAGCUUAACUCCGAAACUGCAUUCGAUACUGCCGUGCUUGAGGACUGGGAGAGGAGACUGGAAUUUACGGUGUAGCGGUGAAAUGCGCAGAUAUCAGGAGGAACACCGGUGGCGAAGGCGGGGUCUCUGGGCAGUAACUGACGCUGAGGAGCGAAAGCGUGGGGGAGCGAACAGG